AGAGUUUGAUCCUGGCUCAGGACGAACGCUGGCGGCGUGCCUAACACAUGCAAGUCGAACGGACGAGGCCCCUUCGGGGACCGAGUUAGUGGCGGACGGGUGAGUAACGCGUGAGCAACCUGCCUUUCAGAGGGGGACAACAGUUGGAAACGACUGCUAAUACCGCAUGAUGCAGCGAGAUCGCAUGGUCUUGCUGUCAAAGAUUUAUCGCUGAAAGAUGGGCUCGCGUCUGAUUAGCUAGUUGGAGGGGUAACGGCCCACCAAGGCGACGAUCAGUAGCCGGACUGAGAGGUUGAACGGCCACAUUGGGACUGAGAUACGGCCCAGACUCCUACGGGAGGCAGCAGUGGGGAAUAUUGGGCAAUGGGGGAAACCCUGACCCAGCAACGCCGCGUGAAGGAAGAAGGCUUUCGGGUUGUAAACUUCUUUUACCAGGGACGAAGAACGUGACGGUACCUGGAGAAAAAGCCACGGCUAACUACGUGCCAGCAGCCGCGGUAAUACGUAGGUGGCAAGCGUUGUCCGGAUUUACUGGGUGUAAAGGGCGUGUAGGCGGAGCUGCAAGACAGAUGUGAAAUCUGGGGGCUUAACCCUCAAACUGCAUUUGAAACUGUAGCCCUUGAGUAUCGGAGAGGCAGGCGGAAUUCCUAGUGUAGCGGUGAAAUGCGUAGAUAUUAGGAAGAACACCAGUGGCGAAGGCGGCCUGCUGGACGACAACUGACGCUGAGGCGCGAAAGCGUGGGGAGCAAACAGGAUUAGAUACCCUGGUAGUCCACGCUGUAAACGAUGAAUACUAGGUGUGGGGGGACUGACCCCCUCCGUGCCGGAGUUAACACAAUAAGUAUUCCACCUGGGGAGUACGACCGCAAGGUUGAAACUCAAAGGAAUUGACGGGGGCCCGCACAAGCAGUGGAUUAUGUGGUUUAAUUCGACGCAACGCGAAGAACCUUACCGGGAUUUGACAUCCUACUAACGAAGCAGAGAUGCAUUAGGUGCCCUUCGGGGAAAGUAGAGACAGGUGGUGCAUGGUUGUCGUCAGCUCGUGUCGUGAGAUGUUGGGUUAAGUCCCGCAACGAGCGCAACCCCUAUUGUUAGUUGCUACGCAAGAGCACUCUAGCGAGACUGCCGUUGACAAAACGGAGGAAGGCGGGGACGACGUCAAAUCAUCAUGCCCCUUAUGUCCCGGGCUACACACGUAAUACAAUGGCGGUCAACAAAGGGAAGCAAAGCCGCGAGGCAGAGCAAACCCCCAAAAGCCGUCUCAGUUCGGAUUGCAGGCUGCAACUCGCCUGCAUGAAGCUGGAAUUGCUAGUAAUCGUGGAUCAGAAUGCCACGGUGAAUACGUUCCCGGGCCUUGUACACACCGCCCGUCACACCAUGAGAGUCGGGAACACCCGAAGUCCGUAGUCUAACCCGCAAGGGAGGGCGCGGCCGAAGGUGGGUCUGAUAAUUGGGGUGAAGUCGUAACAAGGUA
rnacentral:rRNA from 1 species